rnacentral:rRNA from 1 species
UACGGAGGGUGCAAGCGUUGUCCGGAUUUAUUGGGUUUAAAGGGUGCGUAGGCGGCCCGUUAAGUCAGUGGUGAAAGCCUCCAGCUCAACUGGAGAACUGCCAUUGAUACUGGCGGGCUUGAGUACAGACGAGGUAGGCGGAAUUGAUUGUGUAGCGGUGAAAUGCAUAGAUACAAUCAAGAACACCAAUUGCGUAGGCAGCUUACUAGGCUGUAACUGACGCUGAGGCACGAAAGCGUGGGGAGCGAACAGG